CCCCACGGGACUCAGCAGUGAUA
rnacentral:piRNA from 1 species